rnacentral:tRNA from 1 species
GGGCUGUAGCUCAGUUGGUAGAGUGCUUGCCUUGCAUGCUCAAGGCCCUGGGUUUAAUCCCCAGCUCCA